GAAUGGUGUAGAGACGGGAAAAGAAAAGGAGGAGAGCGGCAUGGCAGACCACAGAAAGUAAUGGUGAGGCAGACACCAGGAAGAAGCAGAAAGACAAAGGACACGCGCCAGUGAAAUUGAAAUUAACAAAGUUUGCUGGUAUCAGAAAAGAACAUCACACCUGUGUGUGGCGGUUUAACUACCUGUCCCCCUUGAAAUGCCGUUGCACGGUGACAGAUGAAUACAUGGAGAGAUGAACAGGAACACCCCCAGGUUCUCCUUACUUCUGCCGUAAAUAAGACUGCCCCCCCUGAGGAGGAAAUCUUGGCACGCUGACAGAAAUAUUCUGAACUUCCUGUGAACCUAGGAACUAGAGGAAACACACUGGACCCUUGUAAGCCCCUGCUCUCUUCUCUCAGGCCAUGCUCUUUCCUUCAACUCCCCAGACCUGCCAUCCUCAAGCUGUCCACUAGAUGCCCUCAGACUUUCCCGUCUUUCCCCAUCACCUGACUGCCCCACCCAUCUACACACCUGUUCCCACUUCUCUCAUCAGCCCUGCGGUUACCUGGCCUACUCCGCCCGUUCCUCACCUUCAACUCACUCCCUAAUCAGCCACUCACCAUUUAUACUAGUUCACUUAGUUUGUUCCUUGCCAGGUCAUUCCUAGUUACCAUGUUGGUUUGUUUUCAUUUUAGUUUACCUGUUACCCGAUCCUGUAUGUACCUAGCUUUGUGCCUGCCUGUAAACUAAA